rnacentral:rRNA from 1 species
GGACAAUCUGCCCUGAAGUGGAGGAUAAUCCCGGGAAACUGGGGCUAAUACUCCAUAGUUCGUGCUGACUGGAAUGUUAUGCGAACGAAAGAUCCGUCGCUUCAGGAUGAGUCUGCGGCCGAUUAGGUAGUUGUUGGGGUAACGGCCCAACAAGCCUGUCAUCGGUACGGGUUGUGGGAGCAAGAGCCCGGAGAUGGAUUCUGAGACACGAAUCCAGGCCCUACGGGGCGCAGCAGGCGCGAAAACUUUACCAUGCGGGCAACCGUGAUAAGGAAACCCCGAGUGCCAGCACAGGCUGGCUGUCCGCCAGUGUAAAUAACUGGUGAAGAAAGGGCCGGGCAAGACCGGUGCCAGCCGCCGCGGUAAUACCGGCGGCUCGAGUGGUGGCCACUAUUACUGGGCUUAAAGGGUCCGUAGCUUGAUAUGCAAGUCUCUUGAGAAAUCCGCCAGCUUAACUGGUGGGCGUUCAGGGGAAACUGCAUUUCUAGGGACCGGGAGAGGUGAGAGGUACUGCCGGGGUAGGAGUGAAAUCCUGUAAUCCCGGUGGGACCACCUAUGGCGAAGGCAUCUCACCAGAACGGGUCCGACAGUGAGGGACGAAAGCUGGGGGAGCAAACCGGAUUAGAUACCCGGGUAGUCCCAGCUGUAAACGAUGCGCGUUAGGUGUGUCAGUGACCACGUGUCACUGAGGUGCCGAAGGGAAACCGUGAAACGCGCCGCCUGGGGAGUACGGUCGCAAGGCUGAAACUUAA